GGUGGCUCAGUGGUAGAGUGCUUGCCUUGCAUGCAUGAGGUCCUGGGUUCGAUUCCCCAGCACCA
rfam:Dipodomys ordii contig_68726, whole genome shotgun sequence.